rnacentral:rRNA from 1 species
UGGGGAAUCUUGCACAAUGGGGGAAACCCUGAUGCAGCGACGCCGCGUGAGCGAUGAAGGUUUUCGAAUCGUAAUGCUCUGUCCUAUGGGAAGAUAAUGACGGUACCAUAGGAGGAAGCCCCGGCUAACUACGUGCCAGCAGCCGCGGUAAUACGUAGGGGGCGAGCGUUGUCCGGAAUUACUGGGCGUAAAGGGUUCGCAGGCGGCAUGACAAGUCCGAUGUAAAAGGCGAAAGCUCAACUUUCGUAAGCAUCGGAAACUGUCAAGCUUGAGUGAAGGAGAGGCAAGUGGAAUUCCUAGUGUAGCGGUGGAAUGCGUAGAUAUUAGGAGGAAUACCGGUGGCGAAGGCGACUUGCUGGACUUCAACUGACGCUGAGGAACGAAAGCGUGGGUAGCAAACAGG